GAUGAAGAACGCAGCGAAAUGCGAUAAGUAAUGUGAAUUGCAGAAUUCAGUGAAUCAUCGAAUCUUUGAACGCAUCUUGCGCUCCUUGGUAUUCUGAGGAGCAUGCCUGUUUGAGUGUCAUUAAAUUCUCAACUACACUGACUUUGAAUUGGUGUGGCUUGGAUUUGGGGGGAAAAUUGUUGUGGGCUUUUUGUAUAGUCUGCUCCCCUGAAAUUGAUUAGCGGUACCUUUGUGGAACUGUCUACAGGUGUGAUAAUUAUCUACAUCUUAGACAUCUGCUGGAAUGCUGCUUUCUAAACCUUAUUUGUAUUGACAAUCUUGACCUCAAAUCAGGUAGGACUACCCGCUGAACUUAAGCAUAUCAAUAAGCGGAGGA
rnacentral:misc_RNA from 1 species